AAUGUCUCUUAUGCAAUUGUAAUCAGCCAUCCACUUUGAAAGACUAUUUUCAACAUAUAGCACAGCAUCUGAAGAACAGUGAAACAGUUGAUUGUGUGUUUCAGGGGUGUUCAUACAAAACAAAUAUUUAUGGUUCGUUUCGAACUCAUAGAAGCAGAAAUCAUAAGGAUUGUUCAGUUAAUGACUUAAAGCUUGGAAUCCUUGAGAAACAGGGCUCAAGCUCAGAUAUUUCUGUUGAAAGUCAUAUUUCUGACAAUAUCCAUAUUAAUAGUGUUGGUACUGAGCUCUCAGAGGAUUUAUGUACAGAAAACUUGGAUGAUCAGGUUUUAAAUGAUUUGCCACGUAAUAUUGAGCUCAAAGUUGCCUCUCUCUUACUAAAGCUAGAACAUAUUUAUCUUGUUUCUAGUGUGGCUGUUGAUGAACUUUUGCAAGAGUUUGACUAUUUAAUAAGCACUGCUUCUGUCCCUCUUAUACAUCAAACCAUUGCUCAGCACUUACAGAAUGUUAACUGUCAAGUAGAUGAAACUGUUCUGCAAGAACUAGCAUCUACUCUUUGCAAGUCGAAUCCUUUUUCAGCUUCAUUUGGUGGUCAUGGCCCACUUUCGACUGCUUGGAAGCGAAAGACGUACUACAAAAAACAUUUUGAUAUUGUAGAACCUAUAGAAUAUGUGCUCGACUCCCAAAACGGAAAAUCUUUUCAAUACAUCUCUAUACUAAAAUCUUUACAGCAGAUCCUAAGUUGUCAAACAUUUUUGGAAAAAGCAAUCAACUUGAAAUCACACCAUCAAAUUCAAUCUGAUGAAAUUCAAUAUAAAUCCUUUUAUGAUGGUACUAAUUACAAAGAAAAUUUGCAAUUGUCAAAGGAGUGUGCGAUUUCACUUAUUUUGUACGUAGAUGAUUUUGAAAUAUGUAAUCCCCUUGGCACCUCCAGAAAAAAACAUAAAAUCUGUGGAGUAUAUUGGACAUUGGGGAACUUACCUGCGAGUUGUCACUCAUCUCUGUCUAAUAUAUAUUUAGCU
rnacentral:lncRNA from 1 species